rnacentral:rRNA from 1 species
UUUACACGCGUUAGACGAACGGUCUGGAAAGUCCGACGAUACAGGGUGAUAGUCCCGUAGUUGACGACGUGUGUUCAGUGAAAUCGAGUAGGGCGGGACACGUGAUAUCCUGUCUGAAUAUGGGGGGACCAUCCUCCAAGGCUAAAUACUACUGACUGACCGAUAGUGAACCAGUACCGUGAGGGAAAGGCGAAAAGAACCCCUGUGAGGGGAGUGAAAUAGAACCUGAAACCGUGUACGUACAAGCA